UCUUGCUGGCUGAAAUGGGGACUAGUGGAUCACUUGAUGGGCAGCAAAGAUUGGUCAUCAAGGGAAGAUUUGCUCCAAAGAAUUUUGAAGGAAUCCUCCGGCGAUACGUGAGUAAGUUCCUGUUGUCAAUCUGUGAUCUAUAUGCAGCUAUUCAGAAACGUUUUUCUUCUUUACAUUUUUCUUAUUAGUAAGUUCCUGUUGCAAAUUUGUGAUCUAUAUGCAGCUAUUCAGAAACGACUUUCUUCCUUGUAUUUUUCUUAUUAAUGGUGCUAUAUUAUGCCCUUCUGCAUCCUAUGAACUAUAAUAUAACAGCCUUCGCUCAGCG
rnacentral:lncRNA from 1 species